GGCUCUGUGAUUUUGAUGCCUGAUUUUUGGGGCAAUAUACGCUAUUCUGAAUGCUAAUGUGAGCUGAUAAAUUUUCUGAUAACGAUGAGAGCU